rnacentral:rRNA from 1 species
AUAUCAAUAAGCGGAGGAAAAGAAACUAACAAGGAUUCCCCUAGUAACUGCGAGUGAAGCGGGAAAAGCUCAAAUUUAAAAUCCCUCGGGAAUUGUAAUCUAGAGAAGUGUUUUCGGUCGUUGCCUCGGACAAGUCCUUUGGAACAAGGCGUCAUAGAGGGUGAGAAUCCCGUCCUUGCCGAGCUACCAACGUCUAUGUGAUACACUCUCGAAGAGUCGAGUUGUUUGGGAAUGCAGCUCAAAACGGGUGGUAAACUCCAUCUAAAGCUAAAUAUUGGCGAGAGACCGAU